AUACUCCUGACUGACCGAUAGUGAACCAGUACCGUGAGGGAAAGGCGAAAAGAACCCCGGCGAGGGGAGUGAAAAAGAACCUGAAACCGUGUACGUACAAGCAGUGGGAGCCCCACCACUAAGCCAGUGGUGAACUCCACAUCCGCAUCCUUUGCUGAGGAUACGGUUAACGGAGCGAAAGCGACGUUCAACCGCAAAACAAGCAGAGGGGGCUUAGUGGUGGGGUGACUGCGUACCUUUUGUAUAAUGGGUCAGCGACUUAUAUUCUGUAGCAAGGUUAACCGAAUAGGGGAGCCGGAGGGAAACCGAGUCUUAAUUGGGCGUUAAGUUGCAGGGUAUAGACCCGAAACCCGGUGAUCUAGCCAUGGGCAGGUUGAAGGUUGGGUAACACUAACU
rnacentral:rRNA from 1 species